CACGUAGUUAGCCGUGGCUUAUUCGUCAGGUACCGUCACUUGCUUCGUCCCUGACAAAAGAAGUUUACAACCCGAAAGCCUUCUUCCUUCACGCGGCGUUGCUGGGUCAGGCUUGCGCCCAUUGCCCAAUAUUCCCCACUGCUGCCUCCCGUAGGAGUCUGGGCCGUGUCUCAGUCCCAAGUGUGGCCGACUACUCCUC
rnacentral:rRNA from 1 species